rnacentral:lncRNA from 1 species
CAAGGUCCCGCUGAUGGUUCCCGGCCUGAGCCCCAGCGCCCACGAAACCGCCCCUACUUCCAGCGGAGACGGCAGCAGGCCCCUGGCCCCCAGCAGGCCCCUGGCCCCCGGCAGCCCGCAGCCCCUGAGCCCCUGUCAACAGUGGGGACCCCACCACCACCAUCCUGGAGUGAUUCCAACUCAACUCAGAGGACACCCAGAGCUGCCAUCUGGUAUCUGCCAGUUUUUCCAAAUGACCUGUACCCUACCCAGUACCCUGCUCCCCCUUUCCCAUAAUUCAUGACAUCAAAACACCAGCUUUUCACCUUUUCCUUGAGACUCAGGAGGACCAAAGCAGCAGCCUUUUGCUUUUUCUUUUUUCUUCCCUCCCCUUAUCAAGGGUUGAAGGAAGGGAGCCAUCCUUACUGUUCAGAGACAGCAACUCCCUCCCGUAACUCAGGCUGAGAAGGAACCAGCCAGCUCUUACCUCCUCCUGGUUGCUUUUCUUGCCCCCACCCCAAGUUUAUUUUUGUUUUCCCCCGGCCCCCUACCUCUGAAGCCAUUUUAUGAUCUGUCAUGUGCCACCUGAGCCUCCAGUAAAAACAAAAACAG